rnacentral:rRNA from 1 species
UUUCGCAAUGCCCGAAAGGGUGACGAAGCGACGCCGCGUGAGUGAGGAAGGCCUUCGGGUUGUAAAGCUCUGUCAGGAGUUAAGAAAUAUAAGUGUGCUAAUACCACAUUUAUUUGACAAAAGCUCCAAAGGAAGCCACGGCUAACUCUGUGCCAGCAGCCGCGGUAAUACAGAGGUGGCAAGCGUUGUUCGGAAUUAUUGGGCGUAAAGAGCACGUAGGUGGGUUUGUAAGUCAGAUGUGAAAGCCUUCUGUUCAACGGAAGAAUUGCAUCUGAAACUGCGAGUCUUGAGUGUAGGAGGGGAGAAUGGAACUUCUGGUGGAGCGGUGAAAUGCGUAGACAUCAGAAGGAACGCCGGCGGCGAAAGCGAUUCUCUGGCCUAUUACUGACACUCAGUGUGCGAAAGCUAGGGGAGCAAACGGGAUUAGAUACCCCGGUAGUCCUAGCUGUAAACGAUGGGCACUAAGUAGAGGGGUUUUA